rnacentral:rRNA from 1 species
GACGAACGCUGGCGGCGUGCUUAACACAUGCAAGUCGAACGAGUGGCGAACGGGUGAGUAACACGUGGGUGAUCUGCCUUGCACUUCGGGAUACGCUUGGGAAACUGGGUCUAAUACCGGUUAGUGCAAGUUGAUCUCUCGUCCUAUCCGCUUGUUGGUGGGGUAAUGGCUACCAAGGCGCGACGGGUAGCCGGCCUGAGAGGGUGUACGGCCACAUUGUGACUGAGAUACGGCCAAGACUCCUACGGGAGGCAGCAGUGGGGAAUAUUGCACAAUGGGGGGAAGCAUGAUGCAGCGACGCGGGGGGGGGGAUGAAGGCCUUCGGGUUGUAAAGGUAUGUUAAUCGGGACGCGGGAACGGAAGAGAAAGCAAAGGCUAACUACGUGCCAGCAGCCGCGGUAAUAG